rnacentral:rRNA from 1 species
AUUGAACGCUGGCGGCAGGCCUAACACAUGCAAGUCGAGCGGAUGAAGGGAGCUUGCUCCUGGAUUCAGCGGCGGACGGGUGAGUAAUGCCUAGGAAUCUGCCUGGUAGUGGGGGAUAACGUCCGGAAACGGGCGCUAAUACCGCAUACGUCCUGAGGGAGAAAGUGGGGGAUCUUCGGACCUCACGCUAUCAGAUGAGCCUAGGUCGGAUUAGCUAGUUGGUGGGGUAAAGGCCUACCAAGGCGACGAUCCGUAACUGGUCUGGGAGGAUGAUCAGUCACACUGGAACUGAGACACGGUCCAGACUCCGACGGGAGGCAGCAGUGGGGAAUAUUGGACAAUGGGCGAAAGCCUGAUCCAGCCAUGCCGCGUGUGUGAAGAAGGUCUUCGGAUUGUAAAGCACUUUAAGUUGGGAGGAAGGGCAGUAAGUUAAUACCUUGCUGUUUUGACGUUACCAACAGAAUAAGCACCGGCUAACUUCGUG